GAUUGAACGCUGGCGGCAUGCCUUACACAUGCAAGUCGAACGGCAGCACGGGGCAACCUGGUGGCGAGUGGCGAACGGGUGAGUAAUGUAUCGGAACGUACCAUUCAGUGGGGGAUAACGUAGCGAAAGUUACGCUAAUACCGCAUAUUCUGUGAGCAGGAAAGCAGGGGAUCGCAAGACCUUGCGCUGAUUGAGCGGCCGAUAUCAGAUUAGUUAGUUGGUGAGGUAAAAGCUCACCAAGGCGACGAUCUGUAGCGGGUCUGAGAGGAUGAUCCGCCACACUGGAACUGAGACACGGUCCAGACUCCUACGGGAGGCAGCAGUGGGGAAUUUUGGACAAUGGGGGCAACCCUGAUCCAGCCAUGCCGCGUGAGUGAAGAAGGCCUUCGGGUUGUAAAGCUCUUUCGGCCGGGAAGAAAUCGCAUGGGUUAAUACCCUGUGUGGAUGACGGUACCGGAAUAAGAAGCACCGGCUAACUACGUGCCAGCAGCCGCGGUAAUACGUAGGGUGCGAGUGUUAAUCGGAAUUACUGGGCGUAAAGCGUGCGCAGGCGGUUUUGUAAGACAGGCGUGAAAUCCCCGGGCUCAACCUGGGAACUGCGCUUGUGACUGCAAGGCUAGAGUACGGCAGAGGGGGGUGGAAUUCCACGUGUAGCAGUGAAAUGCGUAGAGAUGUGGAGGAACACCAAUGGCGAAGGCAGCCCCCUGGGUCGAUACUGACGCUCAUGCACGAAAGCGUGGGUAGCAAACAGGAUUAGAUACCCUGGUAGUCCACGCCCUAAACGAUGUCAACUAGGUGUUGGGUGGGUAAAACCAUUUAGUACCGGAGCUAACGCGUGAAGUUGACCGCCUGGGGAGUACGGCCGCAAGGUUAAAACUCAAAGGAAUUGACGGGGACCCGCACAAGCGGUGGAUGAUGUGGAUUAAUUCGAUGCAACGCGAAAAACCUUACCUACCCUUGACAUGUUCAGAAGUCUUGAGAGAUUGAGAUGUGCCCGAAAGGGAACUGGAACACAGGUGCUGCAUGGCUGUCGUCAGCUCGUGUCGUGAGAUGUUGGGUUAAGUCCCGCAACGAGCGCAACCCUUGUCGUUAAUUGCCAUCAUUUAGUUGGGCACUUUAACGAGACUGCCGGUGACAAACCGGAGGAAGGUGGGGAUGACGUCAAGUCCUCAUGGCCCUUAUGGGUAGGGCUUCACACGUCAUACAAUGGUCGGUACAGAGGGUUGCCAAGCCGCGAGGUGGAGCCAAUCCUAAAAAGCUGGCCUCAGUUCAGAUUGCAGUCUGCAACUCGACUGCAUGAAGUUGGAGUUGCUAGUAACCGCAGGUCAGCAAUACUGCGGUGAAUACGUUCCCGGGGAU
rnacentral:rRNA from 1 species